rnacentral:lncRNA from 1 species
CUUCCUCAUAAUCCUUCUCAAGGGCAACCAUGUCCUCAGAAAACUCUCCUUCCUCCAUGCCGUCAUCCACAUACCAGUAAACAAAGGCAUGCUUGGCAUACAUCAGGUCAAACUUGUGGUCCAGGAGAGCCCAGACCUCAGCAAUGGCUGUGGUUUUGCUCAGCAUGCACACAUCUUGCUGUACCUUGGUGGCCAGGUCUCCACCAGGUACCGCAGGGGAAGGCUGGUAAUUAAGCCAUCUUUGAAGCCAGUGGGGCACCAAUUCACAAACUGGAUGAUACUCUUGGUCCUGAUGGUGGCAAUGGCAGCAUUUACAUCUUUGGGAGCCACAUCACCAUGGUACAACAGGCAAUAAGCCAUGUGUUUACCAUGGCGAAGGUCACAUUUCACCAUCUGGUUGGCUGGCUCAGAGCAUGCAUUGGUGAUCUCCGCAACAGAAAGCUGUUCAUGGUGGGCUUUCUCAGUAGAAAUGACAGGGGCAUAUGUGGCCAGAGGGAAGUAGAUGUGGGAAUAGGGCCCCAGGGUGAUCUGGAAUUCUGUCAGAUCAACAUUCAGGGCUCCAUCAAAUCUGAGGGAAGCAGUGAUGGAGGACACAAUCUGACCUAUCAACCUAUUUAGGUUAGUGUAGGUUGGGUAUUCAAUAUCGAGGCUCCUACAACAGAUGUCAUAGAUGGCCUCAUUGUCUAUCAUGAAGGUAUAAUCAGACUGCUGCAGGGUGGUGUGGAUAGUGAGGAUGGAGUUGUAGGGCUCAGCUACAGCUGUGGAAACCUGGGGGGGGGGGCAGAAAAAUGGAGAACUCCAGCUUUGACUUCUUGCCAUAAUCCACAGAGAGAAGUUCCAUCAGCAGGGAGGUGAA